rnacentral:lncRNA from 1 species
CCGGGGAGCGGUAGCUGUGCUAGUUUCGAACCAAGUCGUCCGUGUAUCCUUUUUCUUUUCUUUUUUUACCACACUCACCAUUUUCACCACACCACAUGGAUUUCACUCUAAGCAUUAAUGAGCAUGGAAUUUAUUUCAUAGCCACUUCAUUCACUCCAUGCUCAUAUGCAACAUCUUCACAAUCCAUUGGUCUCUCCAACAUCACCACAUUCGAGAUCUCCAACCCCCACUUCCUUCCUAAUUAUAAAAACUUUAAAAGGGCGGUUGUCGAUGCAUAUGUCUAUAAUAAAUUUUGCAGAUCUCGUUGAGUUGAUCUUGAUAUAGGUCAGCGUUGGAGGGGAAACCACUUCGCUGACAUAAAUUAAUGGUUUCCCAAGGACAAGCUUAGU